rnacentral:rRNA from 1 species
AUGAACGCUGGCGGCGUGCCUAAUACAUGCAAGUCGAGCGAACAGACGAGGAGCUUGCUCCUCUGACGUUAGCGGCGGACGGGUGAGUAACACGUGGAUAACCUACCUAUAAGACUGGGAUAACUUCGGGAAACCGGAGCUAAUACCGGAUAAUAUAUUGAACCGCAUGGUUCAAUAGUGAAAGACGGUUUUGCUGUCACUUAUAGAUGGAUCCGCGCCGCAUUAGCUAGUUGGUAAGGUAACGGCUUACCAAGGCAACGAUGCGUAGCCGACCUGAGAGGGUGAUCGGCCACACUGGAACUGAGACACGGUCCAGACUCCUACGGGAGGCAGCAGUAGGGAAUCUUCCGCAAUGGGCGAAAGCCUGACGGAGCAACGCCGCGUGAGUGAUGAAGGUCUUCGGAUCGUAAAACUCUGUAUUAGGGAAGAACAAAUGUGUAAGUAACUAUGCACGUCUUGACGGUACCUAAUCAGAAAGCCACGGCUAACUACGUG